GCUCAGCUGAUCUGUGAUGGUUCACGGUGCAAGCUUCAAACUUGUAGGUGGUGAAAACCACAGCAGUUCGAUUCUGCCUGCUGAGC
rfam:Clunio marinus genome assembly, contig: CLTMA_superscaffold_15